GACGAACGCUGGCGGCGUGCUUAACACAUGCAAGUCGAACGCUGAAGCUCAGCUUUUGUUGGGUGGAUGAGUGGCGAACGGGUGAGUAACACGUGAGUAACCUGCCCCCUUCUUUGGGAUAACGCCCGGAAACGGGUGCUAAUACUGGAUAUUCACUGGUCUUCGCAUGGGGGUUGGUGGAAAGGGUUUUUCUGGUGGGGGAUGGGCUCGCGGCCUAUCAGCUUGUUGGUGGGGUGAUGGCCUACCAAGGCUUUGACGGGUAGCCGGCGUGAGAGGGUGACCGGGCACAUUGGGACUGAGAUACGGCCCAGACUGCUACGGGAGGCGGCAGUGGGGAAUAUUGCACAAUGGGCGCAAGCAUGAUGCAGCGAUGCGGCGUGAGGGAUGGAGGCCUGCGGGUUGUGAACCUCUGGCGCGCAUGGUCAAGCCGUAACAAUGGUUGUGGUGAGGGUAGUGGGUAAAGAAGCGCCGGCUAACUACGUG
rnacentral:rRNA from 1 species